AUUAUUAUACACUAUGUUUACAGAACUAUAAAUAAAAAACUAGACAAAUUAUUGCGCAAACGAAUAAACAUUAUGCCUUUUAAACCAUCUUCAUUUUCGCUGCAAUCGAUUCAACAAGUGGAAGAUUUCAAUAAUAUUACAGAUGAAGAAUACGAAAAUGCGGUCGAGUAUUUACAUUUUGCAGGCGGCUUCACUCUACACGAUGCAAUAAAAUAUUAUAUGAAAGAGGCAAUAACUGAUGAUGCAAUUUAACAUUACUCAGCUUGAGGAGAGCGCGGAAAUCUUCUAUUGUUUGAAACUAAAUUAAUUAAAGCAAUAUAUGAUGCUGUAUGCAGGAAUUCACAUUUUGGAAAACCAUUGCGUGACGAAUAUUUCAGAGAAGUGGGAGAGGCAGUACGUUUUGGAAAACAAAGAAAUCGCAAUGUAACAAAAAGAAUGAGUGAAAGAGGAAGAGGACAACGACAGAGAUUGCGACAUGCAGCAGAUAACAACUUGUUUGGCGAAGUAGUAGAAGACAAUGCAAUCGAUAAUACAGACGAUGCA